AUACCAGCUCUCCGAGUGGUGUGGACGUUUAUUGGGCCUAAAGCAUCCGUAGCUGGCUGAACAAGUCCCCUGUUAAACCCACCGAUUUAAUCGUUGGUGUGCGGGGGAUACUGCUCGGCUAGGGGAUGAGAGAGGCAGACGGUAUUCCCGGGGUAGGGGUGAAAUCCUAUAAUCCCGAGAAGACCACCAGUGGCGAAGGCUGUCGGCUAGAACGCGCCCGACGGUGAGGGAUGAAAGCUGGGGGAGCGAACCGAAUUAGAUACUCGGGUAGUCCCAGCUGUAAACGAUGCAGACUAGGUGUUUGGACGGCCACGUGCCGUUCUAGUGCCGCAGGGAAGCUGUUAAGUCCGCCGCCUGGGGAGUACGAUCGCAAGAUUGAAACUCAAAGGAAUUGACGGGG
rnacentral:rRNA from 1 species